rnacentral:rRNA from 1 species
AGCGAACGCUGGCGGCGGGCUUAACACAUGCAAGUCGAGCGGGCAUCCUUGUGGUGUCAGCGGCAGACGGGUGAGUAACGCGUGGGAACGUGCCCUUCGGUUCGGAAUAACUCAGGGAAACUUGAGCUAAUACCGGAUACGUGCGAGAGCAGAAAGGUUUGUCUGCCGAAGGAUCGGUCCGCGUCUGAUUAGCUAGUUGGUGAUGUGAUGGCUCACCAAGGCGACGAUCAGUAGCUGGUCUGAGAGGAUGAGCAGCCACGCUGGGACUGAGACACGGCCCAGACUCCUACGGGAGGCAGCAGUGGGGAAUAUUAGACGAGGGAGGCAACCCUGAUCCAGCCAUGCCGGGUGAGUGAUGACGGCCUUAGGAUUGUAAAGCUCUUUUCUCCGGGACGAUAAUGACGGUACCGGAGGAAUAAGCCCCGGCUAACUUCGUG